UACGUAGGGGGCAAGCGUUAUCCGGAUUUACUGGGUGUAAAGGGAGCGCAGACGGCCAAGCAAGUCUGAAGUGAAAUGCAUGGGCUCAACCCAUGAAUUGCUUUGGAAACUGUUAGGCUUGAGUGUCGGAGAGGUAAGCGGAAUUCCUAGUGUAGCGGUGAAAUGCGUAGAUAUUAGGAGGAACACCGGAGGCGAAGGCGGCUUACUGGACGACAACUGACGUUGAGGCUCGAAGGCGUGGGGAGCAA
rnacentral:rRNA from 1 species